rnacentral:rRNA from 1 species
GAUGAACGCUAGCGGCAGGCUUAAUACACGCAAGUCGAGGGGCAGCAGGACGGUAGCAAUACCGUUGCUGGCGACCGGCAAACGGGUGCGGAACACGUACGCAACCUACCCAUAACUGGGGGAUAGCCCGGGGAAACCCGGAUUAAUACCUCGUAACCUUAUGAAGUGGCAUCGCUUUAUAAGUAUAGCUCCGGCGGUUAUGGAUGGGCGUGCGCCUGAUUAGGUAGUUGGCGGGGUAACGGCCCACCAAGCCUGCGAUCAGUAACUGGUGUGAGAGCACGACCAGUCACACGGGCACUGAGACACGGGCCCGACUCCUACGGGAGGCAGCAGUAAGGAAUAUUGGUCAAUGGACGCAAGUCUGAACCAGCCAUGCCGCGUGAAGGAUGAAGGUCCUCUGGAUUGUAAACUUCUUUUAUAGGGGAAGAAAUCUGAAUAUUCCUAUUCAGUUGACGGUACCCUAGGAAUAAGCACCGGCUAACUCCGUGCCAGCCGCCGCUGUAACAC